UACGUAGGGUGCGAGCGUUAAUCGGAAUUACUGGGCGUAAAGUGUGCGCAGGCGGCUUGGCAAGUCGAGUGUGAAAUCCCCGGGCUUAACUUGGGAAUUGCGCUCGAAACUACCUGGCUUGAGUUCGGGAGAGGGAAGCGGAAUUCCGGGUGUAGCGGUGAAAUGCGUAGAUAUCAGGAGGAACACCGGUGGCGAAGGCGGUUCUCUGGGAAUGACCUGACGCUGAGGAGCGAAAGUGUGGGGAGCGAACAGG
rnacentral:rRNA from 1 species